GAUGAACGCUGGCGGCGUGCCUAAUACAUGCAAGUCGAGCGAACGGACGAGAAUCUUGCUUCUCUGAUGUUAGCGGCGGACGGGUGAGUAACACGUGGAUAACCUACCUAUAAGACUGGGAUCACUUCGGGAAACCGGAUCUAAUAUCGGAUAAUAUUUUGAACCGCAUGGUUCAAAAGUGAAAGACGGUCUUGCUGUCACUUAUAGAUGUAUCCUCGCUGCAUUAGCUAGUUGGUAAGGUAACGGCUUACCAAGGCUACGAUGCAUAGCCGACCUGAGAGGGUGAUCGGCCACACUGGAACUGAGACACGGUCCAGACUCCUACGGGAGGCAGCAGUAGGGAAUCUUCGGCAAUGGGCGAAAGCCUGACGGAGCAACGCCGCGUGAGUGAUGAAGGUCUUCGGAUCGUAAAACUCUGUUAUUAGGGAAGAACAGAUGUGUAAGUAACUGUGCACGUCUUGACGGUACCAAAACAGAAAGCCACGGCUAACUACGUG
rnacentral:rRNA from 1 species